GCCUAGCCAUAAAUCUCGAUGCUUUUCCCCACCAAAGCAUCCGCCCGAGAACUACGAGCACAAACGCUUAAAACUCUAAGGACUUGGCGGUGCUCCAAACCCACCUAGAGGAGCCUGUUCUAUAAUCGAUAAUCCACGAUACACCUCACCAUCUCUUGCCAAACAGCAGCCUACAUACCGCCGUCGCCAGUUCACCUCAUCAGAGCCCAACAGUGAACACAACAGCCCAAACCCGCUAAUAAGGCAGGUCAAGGUAUAGCCCACGAGAUGGCAGAAAUGGGCUACAUUCUCUAAAAUAGAGCACCCACGAAAGGGAGCAUGAAAUCGCCCCCAGAAGGUGGAUUUAGCAGUAAAGCGGAACAAUAGAGUCCCCUUUAAGCUGGCCCUGGAGCACGU
rnacentral:rRNA from 1 species